rnacentral:rRNA from 1 species
UUCAGAAAGAUAUAAAAGUAUUUUAGCUAACGAUAUUGGUAAUAACCCUGUAUUACCAAAUAACUUAGCUCAGCACGUCAUUGAGGAUCAGCUCAAUGGUGGCACGGGGAGUAGCAUAAAUAUUAGUGAUCGUGUGGGCCUAAAAUUAGCCAUCACUUUAAGUUUGUUACAAAAUAGUCAUUGUCUAAUUAUAGAUUACAUUGCUGGCAACCCGACACAAAUGAAGAUAAAAUCUAAAAUCAAUUAGAUUUAUGCCUAUGCUAGGAUGAGUAUCAAUUUAUCUUAUAGUGCCUACUACAUAAUACUAUAGGUGUUUACAAAUUAUUAAAAAUAAUAAUUAAAAAAAAGGAACUCGGCAAAUUGUGUUGCUUCGCCUGUUUAUCAAAAACAUGGUUCCCCGACUAAAAAAAAUGAGGAAUCAGGCCUGCCCAGUGAAGAAUUCAACGGCCGCGGUACUCUGACCGUGCAAAGGUAGCAUAAUCAUUUGCCUUAUAAUUGAAGGCUAGUAUGAAUGGUUGAACGUGAGUAACGCUGUCUUCUUUUUUAUUUUUUAAAAAUUAACUUUUAGGUGAAGAGGCCUAAAUCUGAUUAAAGGACAAGAAGACCCUGUCGAGCUUAAAAAACAAGAAGAAGUUUAAUAUUAAUAAAAUUUUGCUCUUCUGGCAUUUUUUAGUUGGGGCGACUAAGGAACAAACAAAGCUUCUUUCAGCAUAAGUAGCUAAUUAGCCACGAUCCAGUUAUACUGAGUAAGAGAAUUAGUUACCGCAGGGAUAACAGCAUAAUCUCUCUUGAGAGACCUAAUCGAAAGAGGGGGUUGUGACCUCGAUGUUGGACUAGAAUAUCCUAAAGAUGCAGACGUCUUUGAAGGUUGGUCUGUUCGACCAUUAAAAUUCU